GACCAUAUGUUUUUGGCAAGUGCAUUAGAAGCUCCCUAAACUUAUUCUAGAAGGAAACUAAAAUGAUAGUAUCUAAAGAAAGGUUACUGACAGCAUUCCUCAUUAACCAAAAGAAGGCCAUAAAUGAGAAUACAAAAGCAUAUAAGCGUCAGUGGUGCCGUGUGUCGGAAUGAUCAGAAAAUAAAUCAAAUUAAGUAAAUGCAACAGCAUGAAAAUCCUGUUGCAUAUCUGUGAAUUGCUGGCAACUGAAUAAGUGUAAACUGUAGUAAAUGUUGUAUAUAAUUUCUUUUUAAAUUAACUGUUGCAGACAAAUAAAAUUUAUUAUUGCUAGUCAACGCGCGGGAAUCACAGGCGCAAGCUAAAUCGAGUUUCUUAUCACUUGUUCGAGUUUCCUGGAUUUUUGAACAUAGGAACUGGAAACGUGCUCGCUACAAUGUCGAAUAAAAAGGAUCGUAGUAAUCCCGACUCAUCUGAAGACACCGCAAAGAACUCGGCAAGCAGCCAUAGUCCAGCGAGCCAUAACCGCAAGGUACGCCGUUCGCAUUGGCGCUACACCGUGCCCAUUAGCCCGUAUGGUUGGUAUCGUGUCUUGGUCUUCAGCCAGUACAGCGGCUACACCGUGCAGCAGGUGAUGGAAAAACUUCGUGAGGCUGUGGCGCCACGAAAGCUCAAGUAUUACUAUUUACACGAAGGCGGGGAACAUGAUGUGGAGCGGGACAAACGUGCGGCGUUCACCUUCUAUGUGGAUAGCUACAAGCUGGCCGCAGAGCUGCAGCUGCGUGGGCACCAGCCGCCAGUUGUGGGUCUGCGCGUCAACGAUCGACCGCCCAUGAUCGAGGUGGACGAGGCGUACAAGUGGAAGCUGCGAAAGGUGAUAAUGUCCCGCUACGAUGCGAAGAAGCGCUGCUUGAAUCUGUGUCGCUUCUAUGCGGAUGACCAGUGGAGGGGCGAGUUCUGUGCGCUGCAGCAGUUCGAGUGCUUCGAGGCGACCAUUGACAUCAUGGAGCGGGAGUUUCCGCAGCUGCGUCGCCUGCUGCUGGACAACAAUCAUAUGUGCCAUUUGGGCGGCUUUCGUGGCGUGGAUCAGCGACUGCCACGCCUACACUCGAUCUCGCUGCAGCACAACGAGCUGAAGACGCUGCGCGAGCUGCGCGUCUUUCAGCGCCUGCAUCUCACCGAGCUCUCGCUCAAGCGGAAUCUGCUGCCCCGCAACUACGAGCAACAGGUCCUCGUCAUGUUUCCGUCUCUGUGCAUGCUUAACGGCCGAUGCGUGAGGCGCAGCCCCUCGGUACCCACAGUCAACCUCUGCGACAACGAAAGCGAUCUGGAUAGUAUUCAUAAUACCGAUAGCGAUGUGGAGCUAGUCUCCGUCACCGAGGUCAAGCCAAUUGUCCUGCCUGAGCCACGCGUCACGUUUCUGGCUUCACACACGCUGCCAAAGCCGAUGGGCGUCAGGAAGUUCGUGCGCCGAUAUAUAAAGGCGUUCGAUGGCGGUGACAGGAUCACAAGUCUGCAACGAUUCUAUCAAAGUCAUGUGCUGGUCUCCCUAACGCUGGCCAAGGAACACGCCAUGCUGGGCACAUGGACCGCGCCCUACGCCAUCUAUAGCCGUCAGCUGCUGGCCUGCCGAGAAGCUACGCUCCAUAUGUUUGCGGCCUGGCCAACAACAGUGCAUUUGCCUGGAACGAUGACCAUGGACUUGACUCUAGUGCAGCCGCUCAUGCUGUGCGUCUCCAUUACGGGCAGCUUUGAGGAGAAUGGCUCGGCCAACCAUCGGCGCCAUUAUAUGCGAAGCUUUGUGCUGACCAGAAAGGACGACACGGCCGACUUUCGCAUAGCCAAUGAGCUCAUCUAUCUCAGUCGUGUUGGCCGCGGCGAACGGCAGCCGCCCGUUCUCACUCCUCUUCAAAGCAAUCUGGCUGCCUUGAUGUCGGCGGAGACGCAACUCAAGUUGCGCUGGAGCAGCAGAUUCUUGAGAGAUACGAAUUGGGACUAUCAACAGGCUAUGCUGGCAUUCCAGACGCUCCUACGCCGUUGCCAGAUACCCGAAAACGCAUUCAGGUGCGAUGCAAAGAGCGAGCCGAAUCUGUGACGUCAGCCGCAAGCCGUAUACCCGAUGGGCCCGCAGGGAAAUUGAAAAUUCCACUGAUUAUGCUGAUUAAAUUUUGUUUUUAACUGGAUGUAAAGGCAUCAACUGUGCCUUGACUAUGCCAAUAAGGAUGUCCCUUCGCUCCAUGAAUAAUAAUUUCAUUAUUUAUUUCCUCAAUUGGAUCAUUGAUAUGUGGAAGCCAGCCAAAGUUUCUUACAACUGUUGUUGUCACCGUUUCCGUUCCAUUCCUCGCUCUGAGCCAGCCAAGCAGGGCAAUUGCCAUAGCAUCCGCAGCUCAUAAAUAAAAAGAAAAUUCACCCUCCUGGCACGAAUGUAACACACGCAUCUAGUCUGAAAAAUUCUCGCUUGAAUAUUGUUAAAUAAAAUGAAGCCAAGUUGGAUGUAAACGUCAAUCAACAAGAAUGAAAUACCUCACAAAGUAGAGAGAAAUUGAUGUCAAAUGAGAAAGUAUUUGAGAUGAUUUAAGAGCCGUCAAUUAUGCCAAAAGACAUAAUUCAAAGACCAAAGAUAUUAAGCAACUAGAUAGAUAUAAUAGAUAGAAAUAAAAUAACAAUUGUUGAGAUUCUAGAUAAAAUAAAAGAAAUCAAGCUAAGAGCAGUAUAUUUAUGCAUAUUUAUAUGUUUAUACCUACUAUAUGCUUAUGAGAGUAAACGAGUAUAAGGUGCUUGAAUAAAUGAAAGAGUUUAUAUGUAUAUGUUUUGUGGCAAAUAAAUAAAACAAAAACUUUAGAGCUGAA